GGGGGAAUAUUGCACAAUGGGGGAAACCCUGAUGCAGCCAUCCCGCGUGUGUGAAGAAGGCCUUCGGGUUGUAAAGCACUUUCAGCGAGGAGGAAAGGUUGGUAGCUAAUAACUGCCAGCUGUGACGUUACUCGCAGAAGAAGCACCGGCUAACUCCGUGCCAGCAGCCGCGGUAAUACGGAGGGUGCAACCGUUAAUCGGAAUUAUCUGGGCGUAAAGCGCACGCAGGCGGUUGGAUAAUGUUAGAUGUGAAAGCCCCGGGCUCAACCUGGGAAUUGCAUUUAAAACUGUCCACUCUAGAGUCUUGUAGAGGGGGGUAGAAUUCCAGGUGUAGCGGUGAAAAUGCGUAGAGAUCUGCGAG
rnacentral:rRNA from 1 species